GAUGAACGCUGGCGGCGUGCCUAAUACAUGCAAGUCGAACGCUGGAAAUCUAGCUUGCUAGAUUGAAGGAGUGGCGAACGGGUGAGUAAUACAUAAGCAACCUACCCACGAAGACUGGGAUAAUCUCUGGAAACGGGGACUAAUACCGGAUAGGUAAUCGGAAGGCAUCUUCUGAUUAUUAAAGGUUAAAAACACUGGUGGAUGGGCUUAUGGCGCAUUAGUUAGUUGGUGAGGUAACGGCCCACCAAGACGAUGAUGCGUAGCCGGCCUGAGAGGGUGAACGGCCAGAUUGGGACUGAGACACGGACCAGACUCCUACGGGAGGCAGCAGUAGGGAAUUUUCGGCAAUGGGGGAAACCCUGACCGAGCAACGCCGCGUGAGUGAUGACGGCCUUCGGGUUGUAAAGCUCUGUUGUAAGGGAAGAACGGUAGAUAGAGAAUAUCUAAAUGACGGUACCUUACCAGAAAGCCACGGCUAACUACGUG
rnacentral:rRNA from 1 species